UGGGACUCCUGAGCUAGAUAGCCUGACUUAGUUCCUGGGCUGAUGAGAGAAGAGGGGAGAGCUGCUGGGAAGAAAAGCAAAUAGCCCACCCUGUGUUUGUUGUAAAUGGUGUGUCACAUAAACAAACCACACCAUAUCACCCCUCCCCAUCCUCCUACCCCAUGCCAUAUCUCCUUGUACCAUCAAUCCGAGUAUAAAUAAACUCCACCUCUUACAAUCUACUCCCUGGAUGUCAGCCUCUCUUUCUGACCGAGGAUAACUAUUGUAGCACAACCCAACAUUAAACUGACGUGCACCAUUCUGUACAGUGAGGUUGCAAAAUGCAUACAAAUCUCCAACACUCUGCUGACUCAGUAACUGCAGAGAUCCAAACCUCCUCUGGCAUCAACAUCAGCACAAAAACUGUGUGCCUGGAGCUUCGUGGCUCAUGGGUUCCCAUGGCUGACCAGUUCCAGGCCUCCAUUAUCUCCUUCCUGCAAAUCUUCUGAUGUUCUGGGUUGCAGGCCAGACAGUAGAGGAUGAAAGACAGGCCACUGGCUGUGGUGUCAUGGCCCUCAAACAUGAAGGUGUCCACUUCUGCCCGCAUAUCUUC